AACGGUCUAUACCUGCGGUACCUGCGGAAGGAUCAUUAGUGAACGCCCUCACGGGCUUAUGACUAUUCCAAACCUCUGUGAACCGUGCCCUUCGGGGCUAUUUUACAAACAUGGUGUAAUGAACGUCAUAUAUCAUAACAAAACAAAACUUUUAGCAACGGAUCUCU
rnacentral:misc_RNA from 1 species